rnacentral:rRNA from 1 species
AGAGUUUGAUCAUGGCUCAGAACGUACGCUGGCGGCACGCUUAACACAUGCAAGUCGAACGAAGUAGCAAUACUUAGUGGCAGACGGGUGAGUAUAAUGUGGGAAUCUGCCUUUUGGUUUAGAAUAACUCGGGGAAACUUGAGCUAAUACUGGAUAAGCCCUUACGGGGAAAGCUUUAUGCGCCAAGAGAUGAGCCCGCACUUGAUUAGCUUGUUGGUGAGGUAAAAGCUCACCAAGGCAACGAUCAAUAGCUGUUCUUAGAGGAAGACCAGCCACAUUGGGACUGAGACACGGCCCAGACUCCUACGGGAGGCAGCAGUGGGGAAUCUUGCACAAUGGGGGAAACCCUGAUGCAGCGAUGCCGCGUGAGUGAAGAAGGCCUUUGGGUUGUAAAACUCUUUCGUCGGGGAAGAAAAUGACUGUACCCGAAUAAGAAGGUCCGGCUAACUUCGUGCCAGCAGCCGCGGUAAUACGAAGGGACCUAGCGUAGUUCGGAAUUACUGGGCUUAAAGAGCUCGUAGGUGGUUAAAGAAGUUGGUGGUGAAAUCCCAAGGCUUAACCUUGGAACUGCCAUCAAAACUUUUUAGCUAGAGUAUGAUAGAGGAAAGUGGAAUUUCUAGUGUAGAGGUGAAAUUCGUAGAUAUUAGAAAGAACAUCAAAAGCGAAGGCAACUUUCUGGAUCAUUACUGACACUGAGGAGCGAAAGCAUGGGUAGCGAAGAGGAUUAGAUACCCUCGUAGUCCAUGCCGUAAACGAUGUGUGCUAGACGUUGGAAAUUUAAUUUUCAGUGUCGCAGCAAAAGCAUUAAGCACACCGCCUGGGGAGUACGACCGCAAGGUUAAAACUCAAAUGAAUUGACGGGGACCCGCACAAGCAGUGGAGCAUGUGGUUUAAUUCGAAGAUACGCGCAGAACCUUA